UGUGUGUUCAUGUAUAUGUACGUAGCACAGGUGCGUUUCCCGCCUCAGGUUACCGUUGACGCCGCCUGUGUUUGCAGGUUGUCACUCCAGACAUGGCGGACUUCCUGCAGAGGCUCAGGACUCGGGUUCGGGUGGGCGUGGUCGGCGGGUCGGACCUCAGUAAGAUCCAGGAGCAGCUGGGAGCGGACGUGAUCCAGAAGGUGGACUACGUGUUCGCUGAGAACGGUCUGGUGGCCUACAAGAACGGACAGCUGCUCUCUGUGCAGUCCAUUCAGGCCCACAUGGGGGAGGAGCUUCUGCAGGACUUCAUCAACUUCUGCCUGAACUACAUGGCCUCCAUCAAGUUACCCAAGAAGAGGUAACGUCCCACCGUCUGCAGCCUUUAGGGAGGGUCGAGGGUUUGAAUCCCAAACCUGAUAGGGUUCUGCAGUCAUGUUCUGCUGUCAUGUUCUGCAGUCAUGUUCAUGUUCUGCUGUCAUGUUCUGCUGUCAUGUUCUGCAGUCAUGUUCAUGUUCUGCUGUCAUGUUCUGCUGUCAUGUUCUGCAGUUAUGUUCAUGUUCUGCAGUCAUGUUCUGCAGUCAUGUUCUGCAGUCAUGUUCUUGUUCUGCAGACAUGUUCUGCAGUCAUGUUCUUGUUCUGCAGACAUGUUCUGCAGUCAUGUUUUGCAGUCAUGUUCUGCAGUCAUGUUCAUGUUCUGCAGUCAUGUUCAUGUUCUUCAGUCAUGUUCUGCAGUCAUGUUCUGAAGUCAUGUUCUUGUUCUGCAGCCAUGUUCUUGUUCUGCAGACAUGUUCU
rnacentral:lncRNA from 1 species